GAAGAUGUAGAAAUAUGCGUAGUUUCUGACUUUGUGGCUGUGGUAAUUAGUGACGACACCGGAGGUUGGGGCUAGGACAGGAGGACGCUCUCGCGCCUGCUCAUCAGGUAGAAGAUUUCCAAUUGGGUGUGGUUUACGAUUAUUAUUUUUAGCCUGUUGUUGUUUCUUCAGAAGAGACAGUGGUCGUGAAUCGUUUUUGAAGUUAGGCAUAUCAUAUGGCACUAUUUUAGAGAGAAAAUAUACCUAUACGUGUUACCACCGUCCACACCUGUUUGGAGCUGAACCUCAUCUGAGUUCUAGACUUUGUAAGUCCAGCCUGCCUCAAGUUCUCAAGUGAGAUCUAUACAGGAGUCAGGAUGGCCGAGACAGAGCCAUGGAUCAGGGCUGGAGGUCCAUGGGAAGCCCCUGUCCAUCGCCCCCCUGUCUCCUGGAUCAAACAAUGGCUGUGGCGUCCUCCAACCUCCAGACCCAAGGAUGAAGACAGGGAGAGGCAUCAUGCAGGACAGUUAGAAGACAGCACUACCAGUCCCUCCAGUUGCUGCUCUCGCCAGCGCAUCCUCCUGGCCAUCCUCAUUAUGGUGGCCCUGGCUGUCAUGGCACUGCUGCUACUGUGGAACUACCAUUGCAUCAUGGUGUGGCACCUCUGCCUGGACGAGCACUCUGGCUUCCCUAAGAUGAUUGGGGGGGGUAUAGGACCAGCACUCUCGGGGAGAGACUAGGGCUGCUUGAGCAGGUUUAGGGAGUGAUAAUGCGAGAGGAGAGUGCCAGUUUCACGGCCGAAAGCAUGUUACAUUAAACCUAUCCAAACAUA